rnacentral:rRNA from 1 species
GUAGGGAAUCUUCCACAAUGGACGAAAGUCUGAUGGAGCAACGCCGCGUGAGUGAAGAAGGUUCUCGGAUCGUAAAACUCUGUUGUGAGGGAAGAACAAGUACCGGAGUAACUGCCGGUACCUUGACGGUACCUCAUUAGAAAGCCACGGCUAACUACGUGCCAGCAGCCGCGGUAAUACGUAGGUGGCAAGCGUUGUCCGGAAUCAUUGGGCGUAAAGCGCGCGCAGGCGGUCCCUUAAGUCUGAUGUGAAAGCCCACGGCUCAACCGUGGAGGGUCAUUGGAAACUGGGGGACUUGAGUGCAGAAGAGGAAAGCGGAAUUCCAAGUGUAGCGGUGAAAUGCGUAGAGAUUUGGAGGAACACCAGUGGCGAAGGCGGCUUUCUGGUCUGUAACUGACGCUGAGGCGCGAAAGCGUGGGGAGCAAACAGGAUUAGAUACCCUUGUAGUCC